GCAGAUCUCCUUCUGCAGCCUUGGCUAUGAUCUCCGCUCCUCUCUCUCUCUGCCUUGGCUAUCUGCCUGCUCUCCUGCUGUCCUCAUCUGUAGGAGCUGCACAGCUCAGCAAGAAACUGUUCUUAGUGUGCCCAUCAAAGCACUGGAAGAAAAAGAAUACUGAGAUAGUUGCCUGAAAAGCAGAAGCAGCUCCUGUCACAGUGCCAAAUGCACUCGUUUAAGGAAUUCUGAUUUUACAAAAGGAACUCCCCCAACCCCCAAACUAAAAGUUAAAGAUGAAGAAGCAUCAUGUCUUAAAAUAGACAGUUUUGUGUUUUCUCACUGCAGUCAAAAACAGAACUCUGGCAAAACAGCAUGGAAUGGGAAGUGGACGUGGCUUUCUGCAUAAAACACAUACCCUGCAACAUAGCAAAUUACUCUGCCUGAUCCUUCACCCAUUAUCCUUGGACCAAGCUUAUGCUUUCUGUAAAAUUUCAGGCAAAGAUCCACUGGG
rnacentral:lncRNA from 1 species